rnacentral:rRNA from 1 species
UACGGGGGGAGCAAGCGUUGUUCGGAUUUACUGGGCGUAAAGGGCGCGUAGGCGGCGCAACAAGUCACUUGUGAAAUCUCCGGGCUUAACUCGGAACGGUCAAGUGAUACUGUUGUGCUAGAGUGCGGAAGGGGCAACUGGAAUUCUCGGUGUAGCGGUGAAAUGCGUAGAUAUCGAGAGGCACACCUGCGGCGAAGGCGGGUUGCUGGGCCGACACUGACGCUGAUGCGCGAAAGCCAGGGGAGCGAACGGG